rnacentral:rRNA from 1 species
UACGGGGGGUGCAAACGUUGCUCGGAAUUAUUGGGCGUAAAGCGCACGUAGGCGGUCUGUUAAGUCCGAUGUGAAAGCCCUGGGCUCAACCUGGGAAUGGCAUUGGAUACUGGCAGGCUAGAGUGCGGUAGAGGGCAGUGGAAUUCCCGGUGUAGCAGUGAAAUGCGUAGAGAUCGGGAGGAACAUCUGUGGCGAAGGCGACUGCCUGGACCAGCACUGACACUGAGGCACGAAAGCGUGGGGAGCAAACAGG